AUUGAACGCUGGCGGCAGGCCUAACACAUGCAAGUCGAGCGGAUGAAGAGAGCUUGCUCUCUGAUUUAGCGGCGGACGGGUGAGUAAUGCCUAGGAAUCUGCCUGGUAGUGGGGGAUAACGUUCCGAAAGGAACGCUAAUACCGCGUACGUCCUACGGGAGAAAGCAGGGGACCUUCGGGCCUUGCGCUAUCAGACGAGCCUAGGUCGGAUUAGCUAGUUGGUGAGGUAAUGGCUCACCAAGGCGACGAUCCGUAACUGGUCUGAGAGGAUGAUCGGUCACACUGGAACUGGGACACGGUCCAGACUCCUACGGGAGGCAGCAGUGGGGAAUAUUGGACAAUGGGCGAAAGCCUGAUCCAGCCAUGCCGCGUGUGUGAAGAAGGUCUUCGGAUUGUAAAGCACUUUAAGUUGGGAGGAAGGGCGUUUGGCUAAUAUCCAGGCGUUUUGACGUUACCAACAGAAUAAGCACCGGCUAACUUCGUGCCAGCCGCCGCGGUAAAAC
rnacentral:rRNA from 1 species